CUCCGAAGCCUAGAGUAGAGUGGAGGGACAGCGAUGGAAACAUCCUUCGUGCUGAGGAGCCACAGGUGUCACACACAGGAGAGCGCUAUGACAUCACCCUCCUCACCACGGUGACCAGGACAAACAGCAACCUCUUCCACUGUGUAGCCACACAGGAGGAGAUGGGCCACCGAGCUGCUGACGAGAUCUUUGUUCCAGACCAGCUGUUUGAGUCCUGCCGUGGAGACACCGUGGUCAUAGUUUCAUUUGUUUCUGGGAUUCUUUCUGCGCUCGUCGUUUUGUGUCUCUGUGUGUGUUUCAUCUAUACCACAGCGUAACUCGCCUUUAAAGCUUCUCAGUGAAACCAGAGACUCGAUGUUUCUGUGAAAGCUGAUUUACAGCAGACUCCAGGCCUUCAGGCUGCAGAACAAAGUUACUGAGGGAAACAGAUUCAUACCUCAGUGAACUUAAAUGCUGCGUUUCCUUUGUCUUUAUGUUGAUCCAGCUUAUUACAGGGAAGGAAAUACUCUUGCUUGAAUUUAUGCCAUCUUUUUUAAUUGCAUUGAGAAGCAGUGCUUUCUAUGAUGAUCAUGAAAUGUGAAAACUGACACUGCAUUUGACAUGUUGUUAUCAGGAAGUGAACUGUGAAGCACGCAAAAGUGCAGCUGGUUUUAAUUCUGUUCGGUCCUGUUACAGGACGUCUGUGAAUGUUUUUAGUGUUUGUGCUUCCAGAGCUACUGCUCUCAUCAUUAUUAUUGUAUGUUUCAU
ensembl:lncRNA